rnacentral:rRNA from 1 species
UCGGGAAUUUUGGGCAAUGGGGGAAACCCUGACCCAGCAACGCCGCGUGAAGGAUGAAGUAUUUCGGUAUGUAAACUUCGAAAGAAUAGGAAGAAUAAAUGACGGUACUAUUUAUAAGGUCCGGCUAACUACGUGCCAGCAGCCGCGGUAAUACGUAGGGACCAAGCGUUGUUCGGAUUUACUGGGCGUAAAGGGCGCGUAGGCGGCAUGACAAGUCACUUGUGAAAUCUCUGGGCUUAACCCAGAACGGCCAAGUGAUACUGUCGCGCUAGAGUGCAGAAGGGGCAAUCGGAAUUCUUGGUGUAGCGGUGAAAUGCGUAGAUAUCAAGAGGAACACCUGAGGUGAAGACGGGUUGCUGGGCUGACACUGACGCUGAGGCGCGAAAGCCAGGGGAGCAGACGGGAUUAGAUACCCAGGUAGUCCCUGAGCGGGCUGGCAAGGCGCAU